GCCUGGGUGGCUCAGUCGGUUAAGCGUCCGACUUCAGCUCAGGUCAUGAUCUCACGGUCCAUGGGUUCGAGCCCCAUGUCGGGCU
rnacentral:tRNA from 1 species